UACGGGGGGGGCAAGCGUUGUUCGGAAUUACUGGGCGUAAAGGGCGCGUAGGCGGCCUUCUAAGUCAGACGUGAAAUCCCUCAGCUCAACUGGGGAACUGCGUCUGAGACUGGCAGGCUUGAGUGCAGGAGAGGAACGCGGAAUUCCAGGUGUAGCGGUGAAAUGCGUAGAUAUCUGGAGGAACACCGGUGGCGAAGGCGGCGUUCUGGACUGCUACUGACACUGAGGAACGAAAGCCAGGGGAGCAAACGGG
rnacentral:rRNA from 1 species